CAGUAGCCGCGGUAAUACGAAGGGUGCAAGCGUUACUCGGAAUUACUGGGCGUAAAGCGUGUGUAGGUGGUUGUUUAAGUCUGUCGUGAAAGCCCUGGGCUCAACCUGGGAAUUGCGAUGGAUACUGGGCGACUAGAGUGCGGUAGAGGAUAGUGGAAUUUCCGGUGUAGCAGUGAAAUGCGUAGAGAUCGGAAGGAACAUCUGUGGCGAAGGCGACUAUCUGGGCCAACACUGACACUGAGACACGAAAGCGUGGGGAGCAAACAGGAUUAGAUACCCCUGUAGUCCCUGUCUCUUAUAC
rnacentral:rRNA from 1 species